UUUUCUCUUUCUGUUACUGUGUCUCACAGUCACCCAUUGAUUUGUGUGUGUGGAACUGCCUUGCAUUCCAGGGACAGAUCCCACUGGAUGGCUCCUUAUCUGGCUUUGGUAUCAGCUGCCUUCAGCUGCUUUGGUAGAGAGUGAGCAGGCAGAUGAUGUCAGGAAGUGACUGAAGUCUAAGCAUUCUCUAAAGCUGGGUGAGCUCGUGUCAGUCUGGGUCGUCUGGAAGCAGAAGCAGAUGGGAGUUGGGAGUGCAGAUGAUUCCUUGCAGGAGGGAAGGGGCGUAGCCCAGCUGUGUGCA